AGACAUCGCCGGGACCAGGGUGAUCGCGAAUGCCCUGGCUCCAGGCGGAGGCUGACCUUUGCACUUCGGCGUGUUGAAGCCUGCAAUGAUGCCUAAUCGGGCUCGGUUGGACGCGUAGUUUUUGCUAGUGUGGAGGUCCUUAGAUCACCCCUU
rnacentral:snRNA from 15 species